rnacentral:rRNA from 1 species
UCCGUAGGUGAACCUGCGGAAGGAUCAUUAACGUAUAAAAUACAAUAACAAGUUUUGUUAAUGUCAUUAUUAUAUAUCACAACAAAUAUGCUAACGCAUAUACAUUAUGAUAUAUUUGUUGAAGGAGACUUUGCUGUCGAUUAUAAAUUUAUAAUUCAUGGUAACCUAUUUUAGACUUAUACCUUGUGUAUGGUUGAGGUUUUUAAAUGAAUGUUCGCCAUGAUUUGUUUGAUUAUAUUAAAAAAGCUCUCUGUUGCCAUAUCCAUCAUGCAUGUAUAGAUGGCAUUUUUACAUUGAUUAUAUCAUUAUAUUUGUUAAUCAAUGUAAAAGACAAUUUUGUCUUUAAGAAAUUAUGUAAUAUGUACACAAUAAAGAAAAUUUAAAAUUUUCUAAAGAUUGAUUAUCCUGAACGGUGGAUCACUUGGCUCGUAAAUCGAUGAAGAACGCAGCUAAUUGCGCGUCAACUUGUGAACUGCAGAACACAUGAACAUCGACAUUUCGAACGCACAUUGCGGUCCACGGAUCCAAUUCCCGGACCACACUUGGCUGAGGGUCGUUUAUUAUAUAAAAACUGCAUACAAUUACACUUGUAAUUGUACAUGCGAUAAAUGUAUGAACUUGGAAUGAAUGAUUGUCGUUUUGAGUUGAUUAUACAUAAUAACGAUAUCAUUUUAAAUUAAAAAACAUACUCGAUUUAGUGAAAUUGUCAUUAUAAUCGUUUAUCGAGUCUAUGAAAAAUAUAUAAAUUUGUAAGACCGAUAAAUAAUUUUACCAAAUCAUAAAUUCACUUGACGACCUCAGAUUAAGUGAGAUUACCCGCUGAAUUUAAGCAUAUCAAUAAGCGGAGGA